AUCCCGCUGCGGCUGCCCAAUCACCCCGCCGCCCCUCCGCCUCCCGUCCCGCAGCAAAAAUCGCGACCCCUUGCCGCAGCAGCCUCUCAUCCCUCUCCCUCCCCGCCCCACCUUCAUCUUCAAGCGCCGUCGACCACCACCAACAUCUCCACCUCGCCGUGAAGGGUUCCGACCGGUGCCGGGACGGAGGUGCUGGAGGUCGGCUCUCUCUCCACGGUGCGCCGUCGUCAAGGCUUGGAGCACGCUGGGCGAGGAGUUGCGCCGCGGCCGUCCUCUGCUCCACCCCGGACGGUUAUAGCUUGUUUGAUCCCGAGAUCAUGCCAUGGAAAAAUUAAGUAGAUGGCAUACCACGACGAGGACCAGCAGCGCCAAACAGCCGGCCUUCAGGGUCUCCUUCCGGUUCCUGUAGCUGUAUGUACGUGCGACCAUGUGCUCUUUUUGGUGACUUGCUGCCUAGAGUUGCACUGGUAAUUGGAGUACAUCUAGGCAGCAGACCCUGGGCGUUGAGAAGAAUAUGUGAUUGUCCUCAACAACAUGGCGUGGAACCUCGCUGUCACCACGUCAUAUGUCUUACUGGUGCGGUUCGCUUCGACAGGCGGUUGGCAUCACGGCCCGGCCUCGACGGCUCCUCGGUGACCUGAAACUCGUGCAUGCCUUCCACGUGAGUGACUGAGUGAGUGCAUCUCCUCCCUGUCCAGAAUUCGUCAACACAUUGCCAUCUUCAUCUUCAGUUCAUAGUGCCCCUCCCUGCUUCAAGGAAACUCAACAAAUGAUUCCCAGGUUGCGCCCUCCUGUUCCAGUUCCAUGGUCGAAUGGGACAUGCGCCCAAGCUGGCGACAACAUCGUUUACUCCAACCUCAACCUUGCUGUCCAGCACGAGCCUCGUGCUGGAUGGCAAGAGGGUGCAGCAAGGCAGUAGGGUACAAAUAUGACGAUCAGGAGCGCCGAGCAGCUGGGGUUCAGGGUGAUAUUCUCAUCCCUGUUCCUCUAUGUAGGUGGCUGUGUAGCUGGAUGUCCAGCAUGUGCUUGUUGGUGGCUUCCUGCCAAGUAGGAGUAUUUCCUAGAGUUGCACUAGUAAUUCGAUAAGACGAUUAUAUAGAUGGGUAAUUAUUUCUUUGGUUAGUUAAAAUAAUUGGGCCUUUCCUUGUCGUCUAGACAAAUGACAUGACCCGUAGAUAUGCAUGUCAAAGAGUAAUUUUGUUUGUUUUACCAACUAAGUCAGAUUUCAUUUUUGACCAUUAGUAAUUUUGUUUAUCAAGAUAUGUAAGUAGCAACUCGCUAUAACUUUAAGAUAAAAUAUAAGCCAAUGGAUGAAAGGGAGGAAAUCGUUGACUCGGAAAUACAGAGCUUAAUUUAGCUGAUCAAAAGUUUUUGUUAUUGGUAAGCAAGAAACAAGCAGGAGGAGAUGUGCUUGUUCAAUCUCCCUUGUUGCAAGGGAAAAAAAGAGUGCAUUUUCGUUUGUUAGAAACAUCUCCCUUGUUAAGGGCAGGCAAACAGCUGGAAUUGAUCUGUUAGAAAACAAACAAAGGUGCAGCUGCCUUGCACUUGCAUACAUAUACAGUAGUAGUCAUAGGCAUAGAACAAGGAAGGAAAGACGACAAGUAAACUGGCAAACCCUUAAUGCUCAAGUAAUAAGAAGUAGUAUUAAUAUGGAUUUGGCAGUCGUAACGGGGUAUCUAUCUGAGCAUACUGGCUAGUUUUACUUGGGAAAUCAAUCAUAUGAAGCUACCUUAAUCUAGUACUAGUAGAUUGGAGACGCAAAAAGUUUUGGCCUUUUAUAGUUCAAAACACUCAAUGGAUGACCUUUUCCUUUGGUGCACAAUAUAGAGGUUCUAUUGAAUGGCUUUGUCUGACCCUGCACUUGAAGAAGACAACUUUUCUUUCUUGUUGCUUCUCUCUCUUUCUCUCCUGUAAUAUCUUCUGUUCUCUUGUCUUGUCCCCUAGAUACUAGUAAUAUUGUGAAAUAAAUUUAGUAGUCCAGAAGAGAAGAAGGUCUAGUCUUGCCUGGAUGAGGCGGAGCGUGAGGUUGGUUCUAGACACACCUCACAGUAGCGUCGAGGAGAUGGUGGAGAUCAGCAAAAAAUUAGGUCAUCCACCAUGGAUCUUCUCUUUGUCUCCAAGCAGCUUCUCCAUGCCCUUGAUGAGAUUGGGCCAACGCUGCUGGCCCUCAGGCAAGACAUUCGACAAAAUGUUCAGGUGAUUGCUCUAGAGGCCAUAUCAAUCUUCCCUGGGUUUUUAUCCCAAGAUACUGCAUGACAUGGCCUGAGAGCAUGGUAAUAUUUCUUGCACUUGUACCUAUCUAGUUCACCGAUUUGUGUUGAUUGAAUCCAUGGUGGGGUCGUGGGGCUCUGUAUCUAUCUAGUACGGAGUACAACUGUAUUCCAAGCAAUUUACUCUCUUGACUGCUGUUGGACUUCCUCUGUCCCGGCUUCCAUUGUGCUGCCUUGAACAGAUCCAUCCGCCUUGUCGCUGAUCUCAUCCAACCUCUGGGGUGGCAGUUUGCAGUCAUUAUUCAGAGCACCAUGCAUCCAAGGCGCUGACCCGGCGCCCACCGGGUGAAGCGUUUAAUCAAGUGAAGCCACCUCCACGCUCACGGACCUGGCCUCUGGUGCCCAGCCGCCGCUUCUGCUUCGUUGUCCCCAUAGCGCGACCAUCCGACGAAUACGCCGCUGUUGUGUUCUGCUCUCCUGUGAAGCACCAAAGUUGCGCUUCCACAACAAAUGAACUUCUAGAUUGUUUGAUUCUACCACAAGAAAGCUCAGGUAUGCUUGACGAAGUAAGUUUUUCGACGAACUGAUGGGUCUAAUCCUCUUCCAUUAGUUGCUUGUGAAGUAAGCCUAGUUUCGCUUGUUAAGGUGCAAGAGAUGUUUGGUUUUGAUCUAGCCAAGCCAAAGGAGUUCAUUGACACAUCUGGCCAUGUCUUCUUUCAUUCCUUUUUCUCAGGGCGUGAUGUUGCUGGUCUUAUUUGGAUAUCCAUGGUGUUCUCAGUCGCUAUCGACAGCCAAACACAAGUAGGUAUUGAAGUGUUGCAAGCCGAGCGUGAGAUGCCAAUAGACACAAACUGUUGGGCGAAUUUGACCUUGUUGGUAUCCUACCAGAACUAAGGGGCUCACCAUAGAUCGAGGUAACGUUCAACAUCGAUGUCAAGAAUCUCCAGGAAUUCUAGUCAUCUUCGUCCAUCUCGACAAGUUCUACAAUGAUGGGCUAUACAGAUUAAUGCAAACAUUACACACACAUACCUCGGCUUCCCUCCAGUGCGAUGCCAACGGUUUGGCCGCAACCUUGGCGCUAUGGGUCACCUCAUCCUUGGAUCUGGCUUAGGGAGAUUGAUGACACGUGGAGCCGGUUUGUCGACGGAAGGCACUUGACGUCGAGACCGUCUAGCAGCCGUACACGGUGUGAUGAUCUGGACUCCCAUGACUACCUCUUGAGCUACACCUAUUUAGGGGAAAGAGAAGUUUGAUUUUAAUCCGGCCAAGCCGAACGAGUUCUGGCUUCUUGCACUUCUUAUUCCGAGGGUUGUGGUUGCUGGUCUUAAUUGGAUAUCCAAGAAAAAUUAGCUUAUUCUUUGAGGUCGUCUAAUAUUCUACAAUCAUGGAUUGCGCAACCGUGGCAGUGGUGGUCGCCUCUUAUUGGUUCAGGUGCCACUUUUGGUUUGGUCUGGUGCAGGGCAAGGUGAUGCAUGUGGUGUGGCCGCUCCGCGAGCUGGGCAGAGUUGCUCGCCAAGAUCUCAUCUCCCAAUAAAGCAUGAAUUUUUGGACCUCAACAUCUAUUCCUCUGUUCAA